GGUACCUCGAUGUCGGCUCAUCACAUCCUGGGGCUGAAGGCGGUCCCAAGGGUUAGGCUGUUCGCCUAUUAAAGUGGUACGCGAGCUGGGUUCAGACCGGCGUGAGCCAGGUCGGUCCCUAUCUGCUGUGGGCGUUGCAAACUUGAGAGGAGUCAACCUUAGUACGAGAGGAUUGGGUUGGACUGACCCCUGGUGAUUCUGUUGUUCCGCUAGGAGCAUCGCAGAGUAGCUACGUCGGGCAGGGAUAACAGCUGAAAGCAUCUAAGCAGGAAGCCCCCCUCGAGAUCAGGUUUGCUAGUCUUUGACGAGAGACCCCUGGAAGACUACCAGGUUGAUAGG
rnacentral:rRNA from 1 species